UGUAUGUGCACUGUGAAUUUUCGGUACUUUCCUAGACCCCGCCGAGAUAUAUAUAAGCGAGCCAAGGUUCCUGGUUGUGAGUGCUUAUUUCAUUAUAUGUUUUUUUUAAUUUCCACUGCGGAACUGAAAGCAAUUUGCUGCCAUCUCGGCUGGACGAGAAGAGCAAAGGCAACGGCACUUGAACGGACCCCAACGAGUCACAACUGGGGGUGACUUCAAGGGAUUCGGGGACUAAAAGCAUCUGGGAGAAGGGGAACUUCCUCUGCGCAGGAGGUGGAGGAAGAGGAGGAGGAGGGAGUCAUGGACAUGAACGGGGAGUUCUCUGUGGGCGCCGAGGAGGAAGCUCAGAUGGAGGCUCCGCAAGUGUGCCCGGAGAAAACUGUGGAGGACUGUUCGGUGGACCUCUCGGACGAGGGCACCGGGCGGGCGAUGUACGUAAAGGGUCCCAAGAUCACUCGCGGAGACUCCGCGGGGACGAGCGCACGCAACGGCUGGAGUACGGGCGGCACGGAAACCAUUCCCGGUAUUCCCGAGAGGGUCCCAAGGCGCAUCCCGCAGGUUUGUCCCGAGGACGAGGGGCGGGAAGCCUCGGAGAGCGCUCCGGAGGAAGAAGCAGCCGGAAGGUUUCCGCGGGACGGCCGCAAAGCGACGCCGCGGGGGGAUCGGGAAACGUCGCCGGGAGCGGCGGACGGAGUCGCCGCUGCCACAGACUCGGCGGCGAGGGAUCCCGAGGGGGGGCCGUCGCCGGCGCCCGACCCGGGGACCGGUGGCGCCGACGCCACCAAGCCGUGCGGCAACUGUCGGCAUCUGAUCGCCGUGAGCAACCUGUCCCUGCACGAGACGCACUGCUUCAGGAACCUGCUGGUGUGCGCGCGCUGUGAAGAGCGCGUGCCUCGCGCAGAAAUGGAGGAGCACAUGCAGAGCGAGCACACGGAGGUGACGUGUAAGUGUGGAAAGGCCCUGGAGAGGUGCAAGUUGGAAGAUCACGUGGUCCAGGAGUGCCCGCGCCAGGCGGCGUUGUGCCGCUACUGCGGGCUGGAGCAGCCGCGCGCCACCACGCGGGAGCACGAGGACUUCUGCGGCGCUCGCACGGAGCGGUGCGCCGCCUGCCUCGUCUAUGUGCAGAAGCAGGACGAGGAGGAGCACCGGCUCACGUGCCCCGGGCACCCGGUGGCGGCCCGCGACCCGGCCCGUGCCAUCACGGACGCGGCCAACGCCUCCCUGGCCGCCCUGAGAGCUCUGCACGAUGACCCCAACGUGAUGUCUGAAUAUGAAGAGUUCCUGAAGCUCCUGGACAGCGACGAUGACGAAGAUGAGGAGGGGAGCCCGUUGGGCGGCAGAGCGUCGGCCUCCAGCCUGCGGGAGAUGAUGAUGACGGCGGCGGCGGCGGCGGCCCAGUUCACCAUGCCGGGGCUGCCAUCCUCCACGCAGGGAGGGGGGGGCGCGGAGGAGGAGGAGGAGGGGGGAGAGGCCACGCAGCUCCUCCUGGAGGACGACCAGGAGCUGCUGCCGUGCGAGUUCUGCUCCAAGCCGGUGCCGGCGCACGAGCUGGUGCUGCACCAGAGUGGAUGCAACCCGGACGUCGCUCACGCCCGAGUUCGAUACUCGAACGGGGUGCCAACCUCAGGUCCCUCGCCGCCAGCAGCAGCAGCAGCAGCGCAGCCUCCGGGCGAGCAGCUGCCGUGCCAGUACUGCUACGAGCCCGUGGCGGCUCCCCUGCUGCAGGCUCACCAGGAUCGGUGUCUGAAGGAGCAGGAGAGUGCUUUCGCAAGGCUUCGUAAUCAGCACCCAGUGUGGGCGCCCAGCAAGGAGGAGCCCGAACCGCUGGACAUCGGGGUGACGACGGAAGCAGCAGCGCCGGUCGCCGAUGAAGAGAUGACGGAGAUGGCGCCCUCCUCGUCAAGCGCAGCUCGCUGGUGGCCGAGGCUAUUGGCCAGGUGGCAGGCGAAGAAGAAGUCGCGCGGGGUCACGUCCGCCGUGGAGAUGGAGCGGUGAAAUCGCCUCCCGUGCAGAUGUCAAGGACAUGGAAACGUCCGCUCCGUUUGAAGACCCAGGCUCCGCGUUUUAGCCGACGGCUUCGGGAGGACGAGUCCCGAGCGGAGUGCACUGGAGGAGUCAACGCGCGAGACGAGGGGAUGCCGGAUGUCUGUGGUUGUGAACUGUGAACCGCGGCCGCGAGUCACGAGCUGUGACCUGCGAGUCGGAGCCCCUCGCGAUGUUUCUUUGUUUCGCACUAUGGUGGGGCGGCUUUCAGACGCACUCUCUUCUAUUAGUGCGUCAGCCUCAACGUGAACCCACAGCCUCAACACUGACACACAGACUCAACACUGACACACAGACUCAACACUGACACACAGACUCAACACUGACACACAGACUCAACACUGACACACAGACUCAACACUGACACACAGACUCAACACUGACACACAGACUCAACACUGACACACAGACUCAACACUGACACACAGACUCAACACUGACACACAGUCUCAACACUGACACACAGACUCAACACUGACACACAGACUCAACACUGACCUACAACCUCAACACUGACACACAGUCUCAACACUGACCCACAGCCUCAACACUGACCCACAGCCUCAACACUGACCCAUGUUGCAAUCUCGAAUGAAUCAAUUUGUUUUUCAAAAAAAUGCACAUAAUCACAACUGUCAUAUAUCAAAGGCCUCUUUUGAAUCGGGCUUUGUAUAGUUAAUAUUUACACGUGAGCAUCAUUGUCCAAGCCAAAGCACCUUCAUGGUUCUGUAUGGAACGGGAGUAAGGAUUCUGUAAUUAGAUAAUUGUAAUUCGUAUACUGUAUAUCUAGAGGUUUGUAUUGAUUGGUACGAGGGUUUCCAUAUUGCAUGAGAUGCGAUCUCUAUACCGGGCGAGACGAGGGAUGCAUGCGGGACGAGACGGCUGUUUUGUGCCAGCCCAGGCAACGGGUUGAGUGCUGGAUGUGACGGAAGUUCCGUCCUCUCUGUAGCGUGUGGCAAGUAUGUGAAAAGCCUGCAGUUCUGCACUGGAUGUGCCGGAUGGGAAAUUGCAUUUGACAAAUCAGAAGGGGGAUGCGGGUUCCGUAUGGGAUGAGGCAGGUUUUGCCUCGGAUGAGACGAGGCUUUUGUAUCGUACAAAAUGUAACACAUCUUUGUUCAUGUAACGUUAAAGUCCCUUCCGCUUCUUGAUGCUUACCGUAAGGUUACUGUUCACGCAAUGAUUCUGCCGCUCUGCCCGUACCGAGCGCACGUACGAAUGUUGAACUUUCUUUCGCACCGUACGUAGCAAACCGUGAAGCGGCAACUGUUGUUAGCGAGCACCUGUUAGGGGUGGAAUGGCACACGGAGUGGCGUCGCGUAGCCGUUACACGCAACCGCGAGCCUUUCUUAUUUGACCAGGUACCAGAGGUCGCAACCGGGUACCCGAUACCCGUACCCUACCCGAUACUCGGCUACCCAUACCCGGCCGGGUACCCGUUUGCGACCCUGGUGCGGCCGGGUACGGGUACGGGUAAGGAAUCAAAACCCGUUUGCGACCUCUGCCAGGUACGGCCCCCUGAGCGAUGUCGCUCUCUCUCGGAAGAGACUUUUGCUACCACAGAUGGUAGCUCAACGAAGCGGCUUAUCACCACGUGGACAUUUGAACCUCAUGGCGGGACCCCGUGGACCCAUAAGCCCCGGGCUCUCGCAUAAACUUCGUUGCGACGUUAUUUUACGUCUGUUGAAGGCGAACGGUGCGGGGAUCUGUUCCUCUGGACGAGCUCUACACGAUGCGCUAAUCAAAGUUUAAAAGUUUUGUUUACGACUACGGCAAUUUUGGCAACGGCGGGUGCUUGGUGAAGAACGAGAGGAUUGAUUCCUGGUGGGUGGCGGCGUUUAUGUGAGCGGUGUGGGACGGAGUCGUCAAAAAUAAAUCAAUAAAUUGCGAUUUUCACUUCCGUUUAUUCGGGAUCCCGGGGUCCCGCCAUGAGGUUCAUUUAUAGCAGCCAAAUACUCUAAACGCAUGUUUCGAAAUGUGGAGGGAGAAACCGGUGGAUCCGGAGAAAAAUCAACGCAGCUGCGGGGAGAGAGACACGCAAAACUCUAAAUAUUCAGCAGCAGCAGGCGUCAGGGUCGGGAUCGAAGCCACGACCUCCUGCACACCAGGCGAGGUAGUCAACAUCUCCUCGCCACCGUAGCGCCCUCAUCCAGUUUUGAAUCCAGUCUGGUCACCGAAAGCUGCACAAACACCACCGCAGUAAAUCUGGUGCUGCACUUCAUGUGGCUGAAGUUGCAGCUCUGGUGAGAAGGAGCGGCGCUCCUGCCCGUGCCGGGGAUCACCGGGACGAGGAACUCUCGGAGGUUCGAUCCGCGGCUUCCUCUUCCGUGGGGCCCGUUUUUUUCCUGAGAGAUCCGAGUGGAUUCUUCGUCUCGUACGUCGCGUCACUCGUGUGCACGUGGAACUUGUGUCGUGUCACGUGGAACUUGUGUCGCACCGCACGUAGCCACCCGUGCUCAUCGGAGGUGCGGGGAGGUGGGACAACAAACUCGACACAAACAGCCACGACAGCCCCCCACUACAGCCCCCCAGCCACCAGCCACGACAGCCCCCCACUACAGCCCCCCAGCCACCAGCCACGACAGCCCCCCACUACAGCCCCCCAGCCACCCACUGCCCCCCACCCCCGGGCUUAGUGUCCCAGCACCGCGUGUUUGCUCUCAUGGACCCAUUCUCGUCCAAGGUGGUGGUGGUGGUGAUUCAUGUUGCGCUGAUUGUUGUAUUUCGUUCGGCUGGGCUUUAAUCGAUGGGGAAAGUGGCACAUUUGGGGGGUGCUAUUUUGUUCGCUCGCUUUAAAUAAAAGAUGAUGAUUAUGAAACCG